rnacentral:rRNA from 1 species
AUGUGUUAGUGGAAGCGUCUGGAAAGGCGCGCGAUACAGGGUGACAGCCCCGUACACAAAAGCGCAUGUGCUGUGAGCUCGAUGAGUAGGGCGGGACACGUGGUAUCCUGUCUGAAUAUGGGGGGACCAUCCUCCAAGGCUAAAUACUCCUGACUGACCGAUAGUGAACCAGUACCGUGAGGGAAAGGCGAAAAGAACCCCGGCGAGGGGAGUGAAAAAGAACCUGAAACCGUGUACGUACAAGCAGUGGGAGCACAGGUUUACCUGUGUGACUGCGUACCUUUUGUAUAAUGGGUCAGCGACUUAUAUUCUGUAGCAAGGUUAACCGUAUAGGGGAGCCGGAGGGAAACCGAGUCUUAACCGGGCGUUAAGUUGCAGGGUAUAGACCCGAAACCCGGUGAUCUAGCCAUGGGCAGGUUGAAGGUUGGGUAACACUAACUGGAGGACCGAACCG